CCUAACAUGCCACGUAAAAUGCCAUCGCAUAGGAAUUCCUGUAACUUUCACUAUGACUCCCAUCUCGUCAAAGGCUGUAUUUAAGAGUCAAACUAAGACUUUUUCCAACAGGAAGCCUCUUGAAACUCGUAAGGUCGUAACUGGGAACAGCAGAUUUAUAACCUUGCCGGACCACCAGUCUGUACUAGCGUGAUUGAACUCAAAGACUUCAAAUUAAGCAGGCAUUUUAAUCCGGAAUUAAGAGAAUACCUAACACUAUAAAAGUCGCCGAUUAAUGAAACUGGCCAACAUGCUCUAGAGACAUUCCCAAAGACACGUUAACCAGUGAGCGACAGUGUUGCGUUUAAAUCAAGACUUGGAUUCGUAACUUCACCAUCACUUUUAUUUGUGCAUCAAGUAUUUUACUCUCACGCGACACAAUGAGUUGGGGAAACAGUUCAUGGAAUAGCGGCUGGGGAGGCAGCAGCGCCAGAGGAGCAGGAAAUCAGCUUUACGACAGUCGAGAGUCAGAGGGGACGCAUGCCUCCUUCUGUACAGCAAAGAAUUCUGUGUUCGGAGGCCAAAGCUGGUGCCGCGGCUAUCACAACGAGAGAUGUUCCGGCUGUCGACAUGAGCGGGGCGGAAGUUCCAUUGGUGGAGGCGAGCGGAAGGGGACCGGGAUCGUGUCGCUGUUGGGAAUCUUUGGGGGAGUAAAGACGGCGGGAAAGGGUGGACUGUGUAAAAAAUGACUUUUGACUUCCACAUGAACAAUUCCGUGCAAUAUGCAAUAUUUUUGCUCUGAGUGUGCAAUUAAUAUGAUAAAUGUUUAUUUACUAAAACAGAUUGUCAUGUCACCCAGUUUAUAAUGUCAUACGUUAUUUAUAUUAGUGUUCUCAAUUACAACUCGGUUUGUGUUUUUGUGAAUUGAUUGUUGUUAAAUAUGUUGUAAAUGUGAAUUGUAAGGUAUGUGUGUACAUGUUAAGUUUUGAUGGGUUAAUAUUUGUUGAACGUUAUAUUUGUAAUAAAAUGAAAUAUUACAAUGUU